CCUACGGGAGGCAGCAGUGGGGAAUAUUGGGCAAUGGGCGCAAGCCUGACCCAGCAACGCCGCGUGAAGGAAGAAGGCUUUCGGGUUGUAAACUUCUUUUGUCAGGGAAGAGUAGAAGACGGUACCUGACGAAUAAGCCACGGCUAACUACGUGCCAGCAGCCGCGGUAAUACGUAGGUGGCAAGCGUUUUCCGGAUUUACUGGGUGUAAAGGGCGUGUAGCCGGGUUGACAAGUCAGAUGUGAAAUCCUGCGGCUGAACCGCAGAACUGCAUUUGAAACUGUUGAUCUUGAGUACUGGAGAGGCAGAUGGAAUUGCUAGUGUAGCGGUGAAAUGCGUAGAUAUUAGGAGGAACACCAGUGGCGAAGGCGGUCUGCUGGACAGCAACUGACGGUGAGGCGCGAAAGCGUGGGGAGCAAACAGGAUUAGAUACCCCAGUAGUC
rnacentral:rRNA from 1 species